GAUGAACGCUGGCGGCGUGCCUAAUACAUUCAAGUCGAGCGAACAGACGCGGAGCUUGCUCCUCUGACGUUAGCCGCGCACGGGAGAGUAACACGUGGAUAACCUACCUAUCAUACUGGGAUAACUUCGGAAAACCGGCGCUAAUACCGGAUAAUAUAUUGAACCGCAUUGUUCAAUAGUGAGAGACGGUGUUGGUGUCACUUCUAGAUGGAUCCGCGCUGCAUUAGCUAGUUGUUAGGGUAACGGCUUACCACGGCAACGAUGCGUAGCCGACGUGAGAGGGGGAUAGGCGACAUUGGAGCUGAGACGCGGUCCAGACGCCUACGGGAGGCAGCAGUAGGGAAUCGGACGCAAUGGGCGGGAGCUUGACGGAGCAACGCGGAGUGAGUGAUGAAGGUGUUCGGAGCGUAAUACUCGGUUACGAGGGAAGAACAAAUGUCGAAGGAGCUAUGCACUGCGUGACGGUACCUGAUCAGAAAGCCACGGCUAACUACGUG
rnacentral:rRNA from 1 species